rnacentral:rRNA from 1 species
AGAAUCAACGCUGGCGGCGUGCCUAACACAUGCAAGUCGAACGAGAAAGUGGAGCAAUCCAUGAGUAAAGUGGCGCACGGGUGAGUAACACGUGACUAACCUACCCUUGAGUGGGGGAUAACCUAGAGAAAUCUGGGCUAAUACCGCAUAAUACCUUCGGGUCAAAGGAGCAAUUCGCUUAAGGAGGGGGUCGCGGCCGAUUAGUUAGUUGGCGGGGUAAUGGCCCACCAAGACUGUGAUCGGUAUCCGGCCUGAGAGGGCGCGACGGAACGACGACCUGGAACUGAAACACGGUCCAGACUCCUACGGGAGGCAGCAGUGGGGAAUUUGCGCAAUGGGGGAAACCCUGACGCAGCAACGCCGCGUGGAGGAUGAAGGCCUUCGGGUUGUAAACCCCUUUCAGCAGGGACGAAGCGAAAGUGACGGUACCUGCAGAAGAAGCGCCGGCUAACUACGUGCCAGCAGCCGC